GCUUUAAGGAAGGCUUGGGUUUAC
rnacentral:piRNA from 1 species